CGCCCUUGAGUUUGAUCAUGGCUCAGGACGAACGCUGGCGGCGUGCUUAACACAUCCAAGUCAAGGGGGGCCCGCAAGGGUCAACCGGCGAACGGCUGCGUAACACGUGAGCGACCUGCCCAGUUGCGGGGGAUAGCCGGCCCAACGGCCGGGUAAUACCGCAUACGCGUUUCUGGGGGCAUUCCUGGGGACGGAAACCUACGGGGCGAUUGGAGGGGCUCGCGGCCUAUCAGCUAGUUGGCGAGGUAAUGGCUCACCAAGGCGAUGACGGGUAGCUGGUCUGAGAGGAUGGCCAGCCACAUUGGGACUGAGAGACGGCCCAUACUCCUACGGGAGGCAGCAGUGGGGAAUCUUGCGCAAUGGCCGAAAGGCUGACGCAGCGACGCCGCGUGGAGGAUUUUUUUCCUUCGGGGUGUAAACUCCUGUUGCCCGGGACGAAUGCCUGUUUUGACAGGAGUGACGGUACCGGGUGAGGAAGCACCGGCUAACUCUGUGCCAGCAGCCGCGGUAC
rnacentral:rRNA from 1 species